GGCCCCUUCGUAUAACGGCUAGUACAGCGGAUUCUCAUUCCGUCAACAGGGGUUCGAUUCCCCUAGGGGCUG
rnacentral:tRNA from 1 species